rnacentral:rRNA from 1 species
AGUGAACGCUGGCGGCAGGCCUAACACAUGCAAGUCGAGCGGCAGCGGGUUCCCGCGAGGGGAUGCCGGCGAGCGGCGGACGGGUGAGGAACACAUCGGAAUCUGCCUGGUUGUGGGGGAUAACGUAGGGAAACUUACGCUAAUACCGCAUGAGACCCUGAGUCGACGGACUGGGGGGUNAAAGUGAGGGACCUUCGGGCCUCACGCGACCAGAUGAGCCGAUGUCGGAUAGCUAGUUGGCGGGGUAACGGCCCGCCAAGGCGACGAUCCGUAGCUGGUCUGAGAGGGUGAUCAGCCACACUGGGACUGAGACACGGCCCAGACUCCUACGGGAGGCAGCAGUGGGGAAUAUUGGACAAUGGGCGCAAGCCUGAUCCAGCGAUG